UUGAACCCGGGCGAUGGUUGUCCCGGGGUAAGCGUGUAGGGAGAGGUGUAGGCAAAUCCGCACCUCACAUAUCCUGAGACGUGACACCGAGUCGUUUAGACGAAGUCAUUGAUCCUAUGCUGCCAAGAAAAGCCCAGCAGUUAGUUCAUGGAGUGCCCGUACCCCAAACCAACACAGGUGGAUAGGUAGAGAAUACCAAGGCGAUUGGGUGAACUGUGGUUAAGGAACUCGGCAAAAUGCAUGCGUAACUUCGGGAUAAGCAUGACCUCAUUAGGGUGAUGGGACUUGCUCCCUGAGCUCGAAGAGGUGGCACAGAAUUGGGGGAAGCGACUGUUUACUAAAAACACAGCAGCGUGCUAAGCCGUAAGGCGCUGUAUACGCUGUGACGCCUGCCCGGUGCUGGAGGUCACGGGGAAGGGUUAGCUCUUAGGAGCGAAGCUCUGAACCUAAGCCCCAGUAAACGGCGGCCGUAACUAUAACGGUCCUAAGGUAGCGAAAUUCCUUGUCGGGUAAGUUCCGACCUGCACGAAUGGCGUAACGACUUCCCUACUGUCUCAACCACAGACCCAGCGAAAUUGAAGUACGAGUAAAGAUGCUCGUUAGCUGCAGAAGGACGAAAAGACCCCGUGGACCUUUACUAUAGCUUGAUAUUGAGUUUUGUUAUGCGUUGUGUAGGAUAGGUGGGAGGCUAGGAAGCAUGCACGCCAGUGUGUGUGGAGCCAACCUUGAAAUACCACCCUGCGUAUGGCGGGACUCUAACCUAGAUCCGUUAUCCGGAUCGGGAACAGUGUCAGGUGGGUAGUUUGACUGGGGCGGUCGCCUCCUAAAGAGUAACGGAGGCGCCCAAAGGUUCCCUCAGACUGGUUGGCAAUCAGUCGUCGAGUGCAAUGGCAUAAGGGAGCUUGACUGCGAGACGUACAUGUCGAGCAGGUGCGAAAGCAGGGCAUAGUGAUCCGGCGGUUGCGUGUGGAAGCGCCGUCGCUCAACGGAUAAAAGGUACCCCGGGGAUAACAGGCUAAUCUUCCCCAAGAGUCCAUAUCGACGGGAAGGUUUGGCACCUCGAUGUCGGCUCAUCGCAUCCUGGGGCUGAAGCAGGUCCCAAGGGUUGGGCUGUUCGCCCAUUAAAGCGGUACGCGAGCUGGGUUUAGAACGUCGCGAGACAGUUCGGUCCCUAUCCUCUGCAGCCGGAAGUGACUUGAGAAUAGCUAUCCCUAGUACGAGAGGACCGGGAUGGACGUAGCUCUCGUGUGCCAGUUGUUUCGCCAGAAGCAUGGCUGGUUAGCGACCUACGGAAGAGAUAACCGCUGAAAGCAUCUAAGCGGGAAGCUCCAUUCAAGAUGAGGUCACUCACAGGGUUAACCUGGUAAGGCCCGUGGUAGACGACCACGUUGAUAGGCCGGAAGUGUAAGCGUGGUAACACGUUCAGCUGACCGGUACUAAUCGGCCGAGGGCUUGGGCU
rnacentral:rRNA from 1 species